GUGGUUGUCCUAAUGCAGAAAAACCUUCUUCCUCUGUACAUCCUAUAAACACCCACGAAAUACACUAUUACAUGUAUUGAAUGCUGGAACUCACAUUACCCUGGGUGUGAGCUACCCCAUUUGUAACAGGGAAGGAGGAAAUAAUAUAUGUAAAACAAAGAAAAAAGAAAUAACCCACAUCUGCCUAA